CGGAGGGUGCGAGCGUUGUCCGGAAUCACUGGACGUAAAGGGCGCGUAGGCGGCCGAGCAAGGUCGCGGUGAAAGCCCGGGGCUCAACCCCGGGUCGGCCGUGGCAACUACUCGGCUCGAGCACUGUAGGGGCGGGUGGAAUUCCGGGUGUAGCGGUGGAAUGCGUAGAGAUCCGGAAGAACACCGGUGGCGAAGGCGGCCCGCUGGGCAGGAAGAGCGAGCAAUCGCUCGGCUGACGCUGAGGCGCGACAGCGUGGGGAGCAAACAGGAUUAGAUACCCUGGUAGUCCACGCCGUAAACGAUGGGCACUAGGUGCCUGGGGGAGCGACCCUCCGGGUGCCGGCGCUAACGCAUUAAGUGCCCCGCCUGGGGAGUACGGCCGCAAGGCUG
rnacentral:rRNA from 1 species